GAUGAACGCUGGCGGCGUGCUUAACACAUGCAAGUCGAACGGAAAGGCCCAAGCUUGCUUGGGUACUCGAGUGGCGAACGGGUGAGUAACACGUGGGUGAUCUGCCCUGCACUUCGGGAUAAGCCUGGGAAACUGGGUCUAAUACUGGAUAGGACCACUUCUUGGAUGUUGUGGUGGAAAGUUUUUUCGGUGUGGGAUGAGCUCGCGGCCUAUCAGCUUGUUGGUGGGGUAAUGGCCUACCAAGGCGUCGGCGUGUAGCCGGCCUGAGGGGGUGUACGGCCACAUUGGGACUUAGAGACGGCCCAGGCACCUACGGUAGGCAGCAGUGGGGAAGAUUGCACGAUGGGCGCCAGCCUGAUGCAGCGACGCUGCGUGGGGGAUGACGGCCUUCGGGUUGUAAACUCAUUUCGCUAGGGACGAAGCGUUUUGUGACGGUACCUGGAGAAGAAGCACCGGCUAACUACGUG
rnacentral:rRNA from 1 species